AUACGUAGGAUUCGAGCGUUGUCCGGAUUUACUGGGCGUAAAGGGUGCGUAGGCGGCGCGGUAAGUCUCAUGUGAAAUCUCCCGGCUUAACUGGGAGGGGUCAUGGGAAACUGCCAUGCUCGAGGGCAGCAGAGGAGAGCGGAAUUCCGGGAGUAGCGGUGAUAUGCGUAGAUACCCGGAGGAACACCCGUGGCGAAAGCGGCUCUCUGGGCUGUACCUGACGCUAAGGCACGAAAGCGUGGGGAGCAAACCGGAUUAGAAACCCCAGUAGUCC
rnacentral:rRNA from 1 species